rnacentral:tRNA from 1 species
GACUGUCUAGCUCAGUUGGAAGAGCAUGUGACUCUUGAUCUCAGAAUCAUGGGUUCAAGCCCCAUGUUGGGUA